rnacentral:rRNA from 1 species
AGUGAACGCUGGCGGUAGGCCUAACACAUGCAAGUCGAACGGCAGCACAGUAAGAGCUUGCUCUUACGGGUGGCGAGUGGCGGACGGGUGAGGAAUACAUCGGAAUCUACUUUUUCGUGGGGGAUAACGUAGGGAAACUUACGCUAAUACCGCAUACGACCUACGGGUGAAAGCAGGGGAUCUUCGGACCUUGCGCGAUUGAAUGAGCCGAUGUCGGAUUAGCUAGUUGGCGGGGUAAAGGCCCACCAAGGCGACGAUCCGUAGCUGGUCUGAGAGGAUGACCAGCCACACUGGAACUGAGACACGGUCCAGACUCCUACGGGAGGCAGCAGUGGGGAAUAUUGGACAAUGGGCGCAAGCCUGAUCCAGCCAUACCGCGUGGGUGAAGAAGGCCUUCGGGUUGUAAAGCCCUUUUGUUGGGAAAGAAAAGCAGCAGGUUAAUACCCCGCUGUUCUGGCGGUACCCAAAGAAUAAGCACCGGCUAACUUCGUG